rnacentral:rRNA from 1 species
AUGACGCCUAGGGGAGGUGAGAGCCUGACCCCCACCAUUGGAACUGCGACACGGUCCAAACACCUACGGGUGGCUGCAGUCGAGAAUCUUCCGCAAUGCACGAAAGUGUGACGGAGCGACGCCGCGUGAUGGAUGAAGCCCCUUGGGGUGUAAACAUCUUUUAUGUAUGAAGAAAUUAUUGACAUUAGUACAUGAAUAAGAGGCUCCUAACUCUGUGCCAGCAGGAGCGGUAAUACAGAGGCCUCGAGCGUUAUUCGGAAUUAUUGGGCGUAAAGGGUGCGUAGGUGGUUAUAUUAGUCGAAUUUCAAAGACCUGGGCUCAACCUGGGGAAGGGAUUCGAAACGGUAUGACUAGAGUCAGUGAGAGGUAUGCAGAACUCAUGGAGUAGGGGUGAAAUCCGUUGAUAUCAUGGGGAAUACCAAAUGCGAAGGCAGCAUACUGGCACUGUACUGACACUGAGGCACGAAAGCGUGGGUAGCGAAUGGGAUUAGAUACCCCAGUAGUCCACGCCCUAAACGAUGCAGAUUAGCUUUUCGGAGUAUCGACCCUCUGAGAGGCGUAGCUAACGCGUUAAAUCUGCCGCCUGGGAAGUACGGCCGCAAGGCUAAAACUCAAAGGAAUAGACGGGGACUCGCACAAGUGGUGGAUUAUGUGGUUUAAUUCGAUGAUAAACGAAGAACCUUACCAAGGUUAGAAAUCUAGACGAAGAUACGCAGAAACGUGUAUCGUCUUCGGACGGCUAGACAGGUGAUGCAUGGUUGUCGUCAGUUCGUGGUUUGAAUUGUUCCCUUAAGUGGGGUAACGAACGAAACCCUCGUCGUGUGUUUUAUUUGUCACACGAGACUGCCCCCUCUGUGUUUAUGAGAUGCUUGCAUUUUAUGGACACAAUGGAAUACUCAAUUUUUUAAAUUUAUUUAUUAUUUUGUGUAUUCCAUUGUGUCCAGAAGAUCUUGUAAUUCGUAAAUAGAGAGGGGGGAGGAAGGAGAGGAUGACGCCAAAUCAGCAUGUCCCUUGAUACCUUGGGCUACACACGUAAUACAAUGGCCGUUACAAUGGGUUGCAAUGCCGCGAGGCGGAGCUAAUCCUUAAAGGCGGCCCCAGUUCGGAUUGAAGUCUGCAACUCGACUUCAUGAAGUUGGAAUCACUAGUAAUCGCAGGUCAGCUAUACUGCGGUGAAUACGUUCUCGAGUCUUGUACUCACCGCCCGUCAAGUCAAGGGAGC